ACGGUAGGCAGCAGUGGGGAAUUUUGGACAAUGGGGGCAAGCUUUAUCCAGCAAUGCCGAGUGAGUGAAGAAGGCCUUCGGGUUGUAAAGCUAUUUUGUCCGGGAAGAAAUUCUUUUGGUUAAUAUCCAAGAAUAAUGAGGGUACCGGAAGAAUAAGCACGGGAAAACUACGUGCCCGCAGCCGCGGUAAUAUGUAGGGUGCGAGUUUUUAUGGGAAUUACUGGGCAUAAAGCGUGCGCGGGCGGUUUUACAAGACAGAUGUGAAAUCCCCGGGCUCAACCGGGGAAGUGCAUUUGAGACUGCAUGGCUAGAGUGUGUGAGAGGGGGGUAGAAUUCCAGGUGUAGCAGUGAAGUGCGUAGAUAUGGGGAGGAACACCGAUGGAGAAGGCAGCCCCCUGGGAUAACACUGACGCUGAUGCACGAGAGCGUGGGGAGCAAACAGGAUUAGAUACCGGGGUAGUCCACGCCCUAAACGAUGUCUAGUUGUUGUCGGGUUUUAAUCACCGGUGCCGCAGCUAACGCGUAAGUA
rnacentral:rRNA from 1 species